CGUAUCACUUAAAGCGAUUCAGCGGGUUACGAUUGACGGAGCGAAGCGACGUCAAAGCGUAUACAAAGUCGAGUCGGUUUAAGGAUACGUUCGUUGGGUAGGGGAGCGUUCUGUAAGCCUGUGAAGGUGGCCUGUGAGGGUUGCUGGAGGUAUCAGAAGUGCGAAUGCUGACAUAAGUAACGAUAAAGCGGGUGAAAAGCCCGCUCGCCGGAAGACCAAGGGUUCCUGUCCAACGUUAAUCGGGGCAGGGUGAGUCGACCCCUAAGGCGAGGCCGAAAGGCGUAGUCGAUGGGAAACGGGUUAAUAUUCCCGUACUUGGUGUUACUGCGAAGGGGGGACGGAGAAGGCUAUGUUGGCCGGGCGACGGUUGUCCCGGUUUAAGCGUGUAGGUGUGUGUUCCAGGUAAAUCCGGUUCACUUUAACACUGAGGCGUGAUGACGAGGCACUACGGUGCUGAAGCAACAAAUGCCCUGCUUCCAGGAAAAGCCUCUAAGCAUCAGGUAACACGAAAUCGUACCCCAAACCGACACAGGUGGUCAGGUAGAGAAUACCAAGGCGCUUGAGAGAACUCGGGUGAAGGAACUAGGCAAAAUGGUGCCGUAACUUCGGGAGAAGGCACGCUGACACGUAGGUGAAGUGAUUUACUCAUGGAGCUGAAGUCAGUCGAAGAUACCAGCUGGCUGCAACUGUUUAUUAAAAACACAGCACUGUGCAAACACGAAAGUGGACGUAUACGGUGUGACGCCUGCCCGGUGCCGGAAGGUUAAUUGAUGGGGUCAGCGCAAGCGAAGCUCCUGAUCGAAGCCCCGGUAAACGGCGGCCGUAACUAUAACGGUCCUAAGGUAGCGAAAUUCCUUGUCGGGUAAGUUCCGACCUGCACGAAUGGCGUAAUGAUGGCCAGGCUGUCUCCACCCGAGACUCAGUGAAAUUGAACUCGCUGUGAAGAUGCAGUGUACCCGCGGCAAGACGGAAAGACCCCGUGAACCUUUACUAUAGCUUGACACUGAACAUUGAGCCUUGAUGUGUAG
rnacentral:rRNA from 1 species